GGGAAAGUGGACCUGAACAGCCAAGGACCACCCAUGAGCAUUACUCAUGGGUCACCUACUCCCUGGCUUCGUUUAGGUGGCCAGUUGCUGCUGGUGUAGAGGACCAUUUACAUGUGAGUUUGGAGAGAGGCGGUCUGGAGAUUUACGGCCGCUAGAGUUAGAGGAGGAAGCCGUAAAGUGCCUGACAAAGCAGCUCUAAAAAUUAAGACUUCCGCUUCCUGAAUCCACAGGCUGAAAGUCCUUAAAUCCUGCUGCUGGCCUGGCCUCCCUCCUCCUGCAGUGAGAUUAUUCAUGCAUAAUGGGGGGGGGGGGUGUUACUGCAGCGCUGUCUGUGAACCUCCAUCACUGUUAGCUCCCGACAUGAAGCCGACUAUUCCAGUUCCACGGGACGUCCAUCACGAAGCCAGGCCUUGUCGACGGGUUGCUGGCAUGGGGACACGUGGCACCCAGGCCAGCAGACGUGGAGGAGGCCAGCAGACGUGGAGGAGACCAUCACGGGCGAGUCCUGCUCCCAGCACCGCAGUGAGGUCGGCUGUGCUCAAGGAGCUCAUGCUGUCCUUCAAGGAAAUGGAAUUCAGGGCGCACCGACCGAUUCACUGUUUUAUUUUCUCUGGCCUGUUUCCACCGAGCAGCUAAGUAGCAGGUGUGUUCUCGGUAGUGGCAGCCCAUUGGGUGAGCCGCGAUUUAUCUGGUGUUUGGGUCUGGAGUGGGGCUGGGGCACCGGAGGCCGCCGUCGGCCCAUCAGGAGCCACGAGCUCACGACCAUCAACGUGGUACUUGGGUCGCUCCCGCAUCUACCAUGAGAGGUCAGGUUUGUCAGCCAGUGCUUGAGAAAGACCCGGGACUAAUCAUCAUCACACGCCCCUUCAAAUGCUCCACUUUAAAAGUGGACCUUUUUUUUUUUUUUUUUGCACUAAAAAUGAAUCAGCACUUUGGCAGCAUCCUAAGACGGAUUCUGACCUCUAGGAGAAACACAAACAUUUGACAUUUAAGUUUAGCUUUUUAUAACCCAAUACGUCCCCCCUGCCUUGUGUUGGCCCCACAGUCUCCGGCCCCUUCUCCACAGGGGCCCAGGUUUAAUCCAGAAAUUUCUUUAAAGUGGGCGUCAGCGCAUUGCUAGAAGCCCUCCAGCACCAAUGCCAAGGAAAUAACAAUGUAAUUCCCAGAACAGACACGUUUCUUUGUUUAACCUUCGCUUCGGUGAAGUGUGUCCUUGGCGAGGGGUGUUUGGAAUUCAACGCAUCUCAUUAGUGUAACACACAGCGCGCUCGCUUCCUCCAGCAGGUCCUUCUGAAGGUGUGAGUGAAAAGGCGGACGAGCACCCGGGAAGAGUCUCAAAGAAGGUCUCUUCAGCGGCGGGCGUGGGGACAGGGCUUCCCAAGGAGGGCCGUGGUGAGGCCCUUUCCACCUGCCUGGGGCUGAGCUCCAGCGGGGGAAGCUGGGGGCCAAGAGCUACGUGUGCGUGUGCUGACCCACGCAGGUACGUGCAGCCAGAGAAGGGACGGCGAGGCACCGUUCCAGAACGCCCGCCCCAGGGCAGACUCGCCAGGCUCUGGGCACGCGGGCGUGGGGCUGCAGCAGGAAGAGGGGAGCGGGGGCCGGGGGGCUCCGAGGUAGGCAGUGACUCCCAGAGCGAGCCUGCUCUCCACAGAUGUUUUCCUUCCUCUCUCGCUCGCUCACAGCUUGAAACCCUCCCAAUGUCCGGGCAACGUCACCCUCCGAGUCCCGACACGGUCCCACCACGCUCUCCCCGAAGACGUCCUUCUGCAGGUGCCCGCAGAGAACGCUGACUCUGUGAGAAAGGUUCUCCUGGCGACCCGGCCUGUGGGUCACACGCCCCUUCCACACCCAGCCCUGCACACCCUCGUUGAGGGGGACCCAGGAGAGGACAUCACGGUCCUGCAGCGUGUGGGUGGGGGAGGAAGGGCCCGAGCCCCCGGCCUCUGGUAACACCGUGGUUGGAAGGCACAAACAGAGGUCGUGUUUCAGCUCUGGGCCACGGAGAAGGCUUGUGGCAGACAGACAUGUUCCGCAUCACACUGUCUGUGAGGACUGCAGACACUUCCUAUGGCAUCCGUUCCCAUGCGCUAGGCAUGUCGGAAGGUGGAACGGGCCUCCACAGGGCCAGACGCCACAAGGACCUCACUAGGCUGCCCUUCGGGGCCCCGUGAUGCUCCUGGUCUAUGACAAGACCGCGGUGCUCUGUGUGUCCCCAGCAUCUUUAUCCAGAAAGACCCUGGAGAAUCCAGGGCCCGCGCAGUCCUGCCGGCCUCACCAGCCCCUUCCUACUCCGCCCAGGCCCGCCAAUCCCACUUCACACAAAGGGCCGUGCAGAAUUCUCUUCCCGGGAGCUGGGGACUUCCCUCCCUUUUUAGGAAGUUCGCUUCUGGUAUCUUCCUCACCAUCAGAAAGUUAGGACCCAAAUUGCCCACAGAUACUCCACGCCCUGGGAAAUGCCCGGACCCUGUUCCCGGUGGGUCACAAAGGCUGCGACGGGACACGGCCACCCUCCCGGCCCCGCUGGGCUGCUCUCACAGGGCUCCUCUCACAGGGCUGCUCUACAAGGCCUCGACGCCGCCCGCCCACGCACGUGUGUGCCCACACGCAUGUGCGAAACAUAUUUUGUGAUAACAGCUCUACGCAGACAUGGUACCCGUGGCCGAUAAAGUAGGGCCUCUCGUGGAAAGCCCCGCAGAGCUGGACGGAUCACAACCCCGGAGCGCCGUAUCAGAGGAAAGCUAAUCAAAAAUGACGUGGGAGACAUCGUGCUGCCGACCGCUGAGCUCCGUCUCGGCCUCCUCGGAGAGAUGCUCCCCGCGCUCCUUCUCGGCGAGCCCUUGUCCGGCCCCCGGAAGACCGGCGCGGCCUCCCGGCUUCCUGCCGUCCGUCUUCCCGCUCUCCGGCUCCGACCCUCCUUCCAAAGUCCUCCUGCAGGCUUUCGGCAAGAGGCAUUUAGGAAGGCAACGGAUUAUGCAAUUUCAGUUCAAGGGCUUGUUCUCAAAAAAAUGACUCAGAUUCUAGAAAGGGUCUGUGUAUUCGGAUGAGAAAUGAGUGAUCCCUACCUGCGCGCAGUCCCUCCUGGGCGGUGUCUGGCCGAGGGAAGAGGGGGCAGGUAACAUGAGAGCCGAGCGGCUGGCGUCUGGUCUGGAGCCCCCACGUGCACGGGGCCCGCACAGAAAGCCUUGUUUUAAUGGACUUGACCUCAAUCGGGUUUUUAAGACGAUCUUUUCCUGGGCUUCUCCUUGUUUCCUCCUUCUUGGAGGACAAGGAAAUCACGGUUAAGCAGCAGCGGGCGCUAGGGCUUGUGGGCAGCUUUGACACCAUCAGAGCCGUAAAAUUUGCAUCCCUGUAACCCAAUAACCUGUCCCAGCAAACAUCUGCUGGUGUCAGUUCCUUUUAUGACUUCUUCGUUGGCAGAAGGGGCAGAGCUCUGCGCUCGCGUUCCAGGGGCCGGGGAUCGGGGUCAGUGCGUCCUCCACACCAAGCGGUGGCUCUGGGAUCCCACACCGGGGAGGAGGGAACAGGAACAGAAGGAACAGCUCUGAAGGUCGGCCGGGCACCCGAGCUGUGCACUUUCACGGGCUCCCAGGAGAUGGCACCCACUUUGUGCAAAAAGAUCUCUGAGC
ensembl:lincRNA